GCUUACCAUGCAAGUCGAACGAUGAAGCCCAGUAUUGCUGGGUGGAUUAGUGGCGAACGGGUGAGUAACACGUGAGUAACCUGCCCUUAACUCUGGGAUAAGCCUGGGAAACUGGGUCUAAUACCGGAUAGGAGCGUCCACCGCAUGGUGGGUGUUGGAAAGAUUUAUCGGUUUUGGAUGGACUCGCGGCCUAUCAGCUUGUUGGUGAGGUAAUGGCUCACCAAGGCGACGACGGGUAGCCGGCCUGAGAGGGUGACCGGCCACACUGGGACUGAGACACGGCCCAGACUCCUACGGGAGGCAGCAGUGGGGAAUAUUGCACAAUGGGCGCAAGCCUGAUGCAGCGACGCCGCGUGAGGGAUGACGGCCUUCGGGUUGUAAACCUCUUUCAGUAGGGAAGAAGCGAAAGUGACGGUACCUGCAGAAGAAGCACCGGCUAACUACGUGCCAGCAGCCGCGGUAAUACGUAGGGUGCGAGCGUUAUCCGGAAUUAUUGGGCGUAAAGAGCUCGUAGGCGGUUUGUCGCGUCUGUCGUGAAAGUCCGGGGCUUAACCCCGGAUCUGCGGUGGGUACGGGCAGACUAGAGUGCAGUAGGGGAGACUGGAAUUCCUGGUGUAGCGGUGGAAUGCGCAGAUAUCAGGAGGAACACCGAUGGCGAACGCAGGUCUCUGGGCUGUAACUGACGCUGAGAGCGAAAGCAUGGGGAGCGAACAGGAUUAGAUACCCUGUAGUCAAUGACGUAACGUUG
rnacentral:rRNA from 1 species